rnacentral:rRNA from 1 species
GACGAACGCUGGCGGCGUGCUUAACACAUGCAAGUCGAACGGAAACGCCCUGCUUUUGUGCGCUGCUCGAGUUGCGAACGGGUGAGUAACACGUGAGUAACCUGCCCUUGACUUUGGGAUAACUUAAGGAAACUGGGGCUAAUACCGGCUAGGAGCUCCCGCUGCAUGGUGGGGGUUGGAUAGUUUCGGCGGUUGGGGAUGGACUCGCGGCUCAUCAGGUCGUUGGUGGGGUAGUGGCUUACCAAGGCCUUGACGGGUAGCCGUCCUGGGAGGGUGACCGGGCACAUUGGGACUGGGAUAGGGCCCAGGCUCCUACGGGAGGGAGCGGUGGGGAAGAUGGCACAAGGAGAGGGAGCGAGAGGCAGCAACGGCGCGGGCGGGAUGGCGGCCUUCGGGUUAGGAACCGCAUGCGCUUGUGACGAGGCGGGAGUGACGGUAACGGGGAGAGAAGCACCGGCUAACUACGUG